UAGUUUGAUCAUGGACUCAGAACGAACGCUGGCGGCAUGCCUAACACAUGCAAGUCGAACGAGACCUUCGGGUCUAGUGGCGCACGGGUGCGUAACACGUGGGAAUUUGCCUCGGGGUAUGGAAUAACUCAGGGAAACUUGAGCUAAUACCAUAUAAUGUCUUCGGACCAAAGAUUUAUCGCCCUGAGAUAAGCCCGCGUAGGAUUAGCUAGUUGGUGAGGUAAAGGCUCACCAAGGCGACGAUCCUUAGCUGGUCUGAGAGGAUGAUCAGCCACACUGGGACUGAGACACGGCCCAGACUCCUACGGGAGGCAGCAGUGGGGGAAUAUUGGACAAUGGGCGAAAGCCUGAUCCAGCAAUGCCGCGUGAGUGAUGAAGGCCUUCGGGUUGUAAAGCUCUUUUACUCGGGACGAUAAUGACGGUACCGAGAGAAUAAGCCCCGGCUAACUCCGUG
rnacentral:rRNA from 1 species